rnacentral:rRNA from 1 species
UUAUGGCUCAGGAUGAACGCUGGCGGCGUGCUUAACACAUGCAAGUCGAACGGAGUUUAGAUGAAACCUAGUGAUUCUAAACUUAGUGGCGGACGGGUGAGUAACGCGUGGGUAACCUGCCUUAUACCGGGGGACAACAGUUAGAAAUGACUGCUAAUACCGCAUAAGCGCACGAAGUCGCAUGACUUAGUGUGAAGAACUCCGGUGGUAUAAGAUGGACCCGCGUCUGAUUAGCCAGUUGGUGAGGUAACGGCCCACCAAAGCAACGAUCAGUAGCCGGCCUGAGAGGGUGAACGGCCACAUUGGGACUGAGACACGGCCCAAACUCCUACGGGAGGCAGCAGUGGGGAAUAUUGGACAAUGGGGGAAACCCUGAUCCAAGCGACGCCGCGUGAGUGAAGAAGUAUUUCGGUAUGUAAAGCUCUAUCAGCAAGGAAGAUAAUGACGGUACUUGACUAAGAAGCCCCGGCUAACUACGUGCCAGCAGCCGC